AUAUACAAACCAAUCAAUCAAACAAACAAACAAACAAAUCCAAAAUUAUAGUGUUCAGUCCAAUUAUUACAAUCCAAAAAUAGAAAAAUGCGAAAAAUAUAAAUCCUAUUCUAAGCUAGUCCUAGACUAAGCUCCAAUGCUUCACCCGAUGCCUCGGGCCUUCAUCUCGAUCAUCUUCCGCCAACAUAGUACAUCGAGACAUUUCCCGAUGAAUAAAUACAAAUACCUCGAGGCAUUCCCCGGCCAAAUGAAUACAUUUUUCAAAUGCGGCAAACAAGACAUUCAACAUAUAUUUCAAACAUUCCAAUAAUCCCCCCAUUCUAAAUUUGCCUACCCGGCCUAAUGUUUGUCUGCCCGCUCGACGACAUAUCACAUUCAACAUCAACCAUAAAUCAAAAUACCAUAAUAUUCACUUUUUACUAAUUUUUGAUCCCUGUCCAAUUCAUUCUCAACCAAUGAUUAACACAACAUCCAACACUUUUCAAAUCACUUUUCAAAAUCCGAAACCAACAUCCAACACAUACAUCUAACAAAGAUUCAAACUAAGAACACGAGUCAUCCACAGCAACAAUCAAUAUUUUUGCUCAAAGUAUUCAAAACCAUACCAUAAAAUCACAACAUUAACCAAAAUUCGAGAAAAUGAAAGAGCGAAGUUAAGAGAUGGACCUUCAAAGAAUCGAUUUCAUAGAUAAUAUAAAAUUAAAGGAACCUGAAUCCGAGACCCCAAAUAGGAAAACCUCAAUAGCUAUGAAAUCCAAGUACGGUAUUGAAGAACUGAGACAUGAAAUGAAAUUUAAUGAAUGGGUUAUGACAAACCGAAGCCUAAAUCCCCAAGCCAACAAUGACUACCGAUGACCUCAAGACAGAAAUUACAACGGCACAAACCCAAAUCAAAUUGCGAAGCAACAAGAAAACCGUACCAAAAUUCCCAUACCAGUCACAAUUUCAACCGUUUUCCAAUGAACUUCACUGAAAUUGGACUGAAAUGGAUCAAACUUGGUCGAUUUUGUCUGAUUAUGGGGUCGAGCCGAUGCUGUUUUGGUCAAAAAUCAGGGCUAGUGAUGUUUUCUAAUAGAUUUGACUAGAUUUGUAAUGGCUUUGGCAUGUUUCCGGCGAGACUGUCACCAGAAUAGUAACCACCACUCUCUUCUCCCUCAAUUUCAAUCGCGGAUCUCUCUCUCUCUCGCUAUCUCUCACUGUGUGGUUAUGUGUAUCGUGUGCAUGUAUAAGUGUUUCUUCUCCGGUGAGGUGUGUUAAUGGCCUUCUCGUGAGUGAAUUAUGGGUGUAUAUAUGUUGUGAGGUGUGCUAGAGAGUGUGAGUGGGGAUUAUUUUUUGUGAGCCCUUUUUUUCGAAGGAUCCCCCUGAAAAAGAAGAAGCCCCAAAAAAAUAUUUUCUCCCUUGGUCCCCCCUUUUUUUUCUAUUUUUGUUGUGUAUAUAUGGUAUAUGCAGAUAGUGAGUGGAAUUAUGAGAGUGGGUGGUGAUGUGUUGUCCAAAAUUAAAGGAGGAGUGGUUAAUUUUGUUACCAAAAGAAUAAUUGAGGAUUAAGUUUGUUAGUGGGUUUGUUAUUAUUUUUUUUUGUAUUUUUGUGGGGUAUAAUUCACAUGGGUAAGAGUGUAUGAUAAAGUGAGGUAAAAAUGAUAUCGGGGAGGGACAAAAUUAGGUGUCUACAGUUAAAACAUAAAUGAAAUUACAAAAAUUCUAAUCUAUGCAGCUUUACUUGAGUUGAAUUUCAUCACUAUAUUCUUCAGGCGGGCUCCUGACUUGCACUUUCUUCAACUUGUAGCUUGCCUUUCAAUCUCUUCACCCUGUUCUUCAGGUGGGUUCCUCACUUGCUAUUUCAUCAACUUCUUGCUAUGCUUUCCAAUUUCUACACCCUGUUCUCCAGGCGGAUUCCUGACUUUCUAUUUCAUCAACUUGCUGCUAUGCUUUCAAUUUUUUUCACCCUGUUCUGUAGGCGGGCUCCUGACUUGCGAUCUCAUCAACUUGUUUCUAUGCUUUUCAAUUUCUACACCCUGUUCUCUAGGCGGGUUCCUGACUUGCUAAUUUUCAAUCUGUUUAACUUUCAAUUUCUUCACCUUGUUGCUUGGUUUUCCAUUUAUACGCCCUGUGGUUCGGGCAUGCUCCUGAAAUCACAUCAAAAUUGAAAAGAAAAUUAUCCCAAAUAAAGAAAUGCAUUUUCUAUAAGUUAAUUGGAAUGACUCGACUAAAAGGUACGUCUUUUAGGAAUCAAGGGGGAUGACUCGACUAAAAGGUACGUCUAAUAGGAAUAUAGGGGGAUGACUCGACUAAAAGGUACAUAUUAUAGGAAUCUAAGGGAAUGACUCGGCUAAAAGGUACGUCUUCUAGGAAUCAAGGGAAAUGACUCGACUAAAAGGUACAUCUUCUAGGGGUCAAAGGGGAUGAGUCGACUAAAAGGUACGUCUUAUAGGAAUCAAAGGGAAUGACUCAACUAAAAGGGACGUUUUAUAGAAAUCAAUAGGAAUUACUCGACUAAAAGGCACGUCUUAUAGGAAUUAACGGUGAUGACUCAACUAAAAGGUAUGUCUUCUAGGAGUCAAGGUGAAUGACUCGACUAAAAGCUACGUCUAAUAGGAAUCAAAGGGGAUGACUCGACUAAAAGAUACGUCUUUUAGGAAUCAAAGGGGAUGACUUGAAUAAAAGGUAUGUCUUAUAGGAAUCAAAGGGGAUGACUCGACUAAAAGGUACGUCUUAUAGGAAUCAAAGGAGAUAAUUCGACUAAAAGGUAUGUCUUAUAGGAUUCAAAGGGGAUGACUCGACUAAAAGGUACAUCUUAUAGGAAUCAAAGGGGAUGACUUGAAUAAAAGGUAUGUCUUAUAGGAAUCAAAGGGGAUGACUCGACUAAAAGGUACGUCUUAUUGGAAUCAAAGAGGAUGACUCGACUAAGAGGUACGUCUUAUAGGAAUUAAUAGGAAUGACUCGACUAAAAGGUACGUCUUUUAGGAAUCAAGGGGGAUGACUCGACUAAAAGGUACGUCUUCUAGGAAUCAAGACUUCAGUUCAGAAGUGCAUUACCUAAGAAGAAAAUUUUGAAUUACCCAAUCAAGGAAGUGUGUUUCCUUAUCAAUGUUGUUUGAAUUAUCAAAACAAGGAAGUGCGUCUCCUAGAGAUCUUGAAUUAUGAGUUUUACCAUGGUUUUGAUUACCAAAUUUAUGCAGCAACCUUGCCUCUUGCAUUUGUUGAGGUGAGAAAUUACAGCCUUUAAUGUUUAGGCUCUGAAAUCCUUGAUCUGAAUGCAACAUGUAUUCCUAUUACAUACAAAGAAAACUUGUGAGUUUAAAAACAUGGUGGCUAGUUUGUGUCUUUGACUUUUGAGGCAAUUGAUCCUGCCCCCAUUACAUUUAGCUUUUCUUCCAACCAUUAGCAUAUGUCAUUGACUUGUUGUAUCAUUGACUAGAACUCAGCUUAUUAAGAGUGACUCUGAAUCAAACACAGUAUUUCUGCUUUGUCGUGUUUCUAUAAUAAACCCUUUGAAUCUUGGUAUUUCCAUGAGUUCCCCGACUUCUCUGUUGACAAAACUUUCUGCAUGCCUUUUUUGGGCUCAAAAUCAUGUCUCUUUCAUGUGCUAGCUUUUUUCUUGCUUUGUGCAAUUAAAGAAGCUGGUUGCCAGUUUUGAAAUCUUUUCUCACUUGUUUUGACACGGACUUGACUCAAAGACAAGAAACUAAAAAAAAAGAAUGACAAUUUUUGUUUUAAUAACUGACUUAAGAAAGAUAAAAUUAAAAUAAAGAGAAGAAAGAAAAACAAUGAAUGUCCCCUUUUAAAAUCAAAGAAAUAAAAAAUUCAUCUAAAAAUGACAGUCAACACUAAUGAUUAUGCCAUGCAUUUUGGAUUAAUCAGCUUGAUCUUUUCAUCCAAACUUUCUACCCAUUGUUGUUGAGUUAAUGGCCUUGAAACUGAGUUGCUUUCUUAGGUCAAUUGCAUUUAAGACCCCAUUCGGCCAGUGGUGCCUUGAAUGGUUUUCGCCAACAAGCUUCUUUCAUUUUCUCUCGGCUCAUUAUCGCCUUAUGGUGCCCAUGAGGGUUUUCAUCAAUAAGACUCUCUCAUUUUUAUUUCUCUCAACUUGUCAUCGCCUUAUGGUGCCUGUAUGGGUUUUCACCAAUAAGACUCUCUUAUUUUUAUUUCUCUUUUGAUUCCCUAUGCUGAGGAAGACAAAUAGUUUCCAAAUGCAUCAUCAUAUCCCUGGCAUGCUCCGCCUUAACAUCCUCAAAGAUUGAUUUGAAGGUCUUUCUUUGGUUGUAACUUGUCUUUUGGAUAAGGUUAGAAAGAAAGGAUGGCAUGGGUCCCAAACGACACUUGAAGUGGGGUAGGACUAACAACUUUUGGAAUCGACUCAAACAAUAAGGAUUAACUCAUGCCCCAGUUUCUUUUGACUGGGUGACUCUAAAUUGUUUAUUUGGUUGGACUGAGCCCUGAGUAGGGCAGCUACGUAUCUCACCCUUGAGAGAGGAGAAUCAGGUCAUGCGUAGUUUUGGCAGCUUGUCUUUUCCACUUGAUUCUAAGUUUUUUUUUCUUUUGUUGACUCUUUUUCUGGGACUUUUCUGACUUUAUUUUUCUCGAAACUCUUUUUUUUUUUUCUUUUUGACAUACUUUGACAUAUUUUUCUCUUCUUUUUUUUGAAACUUUUCUGACUCUACUGUUUUGCUCGACACCUUUUAUUUUGAGCUUUGUUGACUCUAUAUGACUCCAAAAAAGGGGUAUGAAAUAAAAUAACACUAAGGCCCAAAUGGGGGACAAAGGAUGACACGAUGUUUGGAUAGUAGAAUGAAAGGCCUUCGUCAUAUCAAUCCUUAAAAAUGCAAGUACAUAUCAUGCAAUAUGAAAAUGAAAGAUGAACAUCAUUUGUGGAACUUAAACAACACUAAAGUCAACUGAGCGUGUAUGUCACUUGUUUUUCUACAAUUGUCAAACAUACAACUCCAUUUUCGUUGUACAUUCCUCAUGCUGAGGACUCAUGACUUUGUGGAGCUGAUUUUCUUUCUGUUCCUCUUGAUAUAGGAUCACACAGCCACUAUUUGACCUAAUCGAUACAUAUAUUUCAAUUGAUGACCAAGUUAGUCUUGUAAUCUCAAAAUAAUUGCCUUGAUUUUGAAAGAAGACUUCAACUCGGUUACCAAAUGUCUCAACACUCUAAAUAUUUUCUCAGAUGCUUUUUCUAACUUUAACUCUCUGAUUCCAUGCUCAUGGUUCAACUGGAUUUUAAAAUUUGGCUGAAAAUUCCGCAGGCAUGUCAUAUCACUAGAAUUAACAUAAAGUUACUGUAUAAAGAAAACAAACAAAUAGCACAUAUUUGAAACACAAAAGGAAAGGGAUACUUUAUUUAAUAGAAAUAAAAGAUAAAAGGGUUUGAACAUAAACGACAAAGGGACAAAAUAAGAUAGAUCCCGAACUACAACCCUGAAAUAAUUUGAAAAAUAGAAAAGAAAGCAAAACGAACUACCAGACCUCUUCCUAGUAGGGAGAGGGGUGACUUUUUAAUUGCUCAGCCUGACAUAUUAGCCACUGGUUUGCAUAUCAACAUGACUAGAGCUUUCACCACUGUCAGACACAUUUCCUUCAACAAAUAAGCUCUGGAUCCGCAUGCUUAACUCAUUGCCUCCCACAUAUUGUGCAGUACCGCGUGCUGGUGAAGAACUCUGUGGGAUGGUCGAAGGGCCAAUGUUUUGCACCACAAUCAAUUUAUCUUGAAUUAUCUUUUCUAUUUCUCUUUUCAAAGUGAGACAAUCUUCAGUACUAUGACCCUGAACGUCAGAAUGAUAUGCACAUCGCACAUUAGGAUCAAAGAUUCUUGAAUGUAGGUCUAGAGUAUACCCAAGGAGAGGAGUGAUCAUACCCUGCUGUACCAAUCUCUGGAAUAAACUGGCAUAGGAUUCCCCAAUAGGAGUGAAAUUAUCUUUUUUCUUCCUCCUCUUUGCGAACUCUGGCCUCGGAUGAAAUUUGGAUUUAAAGGUCCCUUGGUAAAUUUGUGGGGGACGAGGACGGUGUUGAGGGAUAGGUGCAUGCCAUUGUGGAUAAGAAGAUGGAUGAGCAUACAAUUAUGCAUUGUUCAUAGGAUAUCGAGGAAGUGGAAUGGGAUUUCUUGGAUUUUGGAGAAAGAAACCUUGUUGCAAGUGGUUAUGUGGAUCUAAUAUGUAAGCUCAGGAUUGAGGCUGACAAUAUUGGUGGGUUGGAACUCUCAAACUCUACUUUGGCCCUGUCAUGAUAAUAGGUGUGUUUUCCUUCUUCUUUCCUUCAGUUUCCCUUGGUUGAUUGCAAUGUCGUCCCGAAUGUUUCACAGAAUCCUUCUGUCCAUCAGGCUCCCCAAAUUUUGAUGUCUCAAAGCUGGGAGGAAGGUUAACACUUGAAGAUAUGCCCCAGCUUUUAUAUGAAACAUCUUCAAAACGCAUAAGUCCAGGGGAAUUUUUCAUAUCAUUUUCUACACUCUUCACUUUCCCAACCAUUUUCUCUGGCUCUUUUGGUAUGCUAGGAUUCUUAGUAAGAAAUUUUGGAGGCUCACUUAACUUAACUGUAGGCUCAAGAGUAUACAAACGAUCAUCAACAGUAUUGAACAUGGAGUCACUAGUCGACUUAAGAAGCACAAUUAUUGGAUUGAUAGAUAAAGUGGAAGCCUUAGUGGAAGGUUGAGUAACAAAAGCACAGACGGUAUGUGGUGCUGUGCAUGUGGUAGACUUAUACUGAGGAGAUAAAGAAAGAGUGGUGGAAGUGUUGAGGUGCAUUUGACGUGGAAUGGAUUCUGAGGCAUGUUGUGGUGCAUCAACAACAGUAGGAAACUGACUUUGCAAUUUUGGUGGAAGACUCAAGGUAUUUCCAGGGUCAAAAGUAGGGAACGGAGGUGGAGGCAUCCCACUGGUCCAAGCUCAGUACAUUCCCAUCAUUUGUUGUCUCAGUCUCAAAUGCUAUUCCUUUAAAAUCCCAAUUUCCUGACUCUUUGUUACAUCCAUGAUGUCACUCUCUAUAUCCUUGUUGGACACAACUAAUCCUUUCUUGGAUUUGGUGUGAUAUGGAGGACCAGCCAGGAAACCACAAACCAACCACCUUAAACUAACUGAACAAGAGGCAACAAAUAUGUUAGAGUUCAACAUUAUUCAAAAACCUUUUUUUUCUUGAAAAAAAAUCACCGAACCCUAGAAGGGCGCCUACGUAUCUCACCCCCGAAAGGGGAGAAUCAGGUGUGCGUAGUUCGUGAAGUCAUGCCAAAACGGUCAAUUGAACUUUUUUUCUUUUUUUUUUCCUCGAAACUUUAAGAAGAAAAGAAAAUAACAAUUUGUCAAAAGAAUUGACGAAAAUGUUUUUGAAUUUUUCAGCUUUAACAUCCCUAUACAAAGUAAAAUCUAUGAUUACCAAAGAAAUCUUUUUGGGUUUUCAGUUUUAAAUUUCAUAUGAAAAUAGAACUUGAACCUAUUAAAGAAAAAUCUUUUUGUAGUUUUCUUUUAAAGAUGUAUAUGAAACACCUACUCUAAAUGAAGAGUGAAGAAAAUCUUUUUGAAUUUUUGAAAUAAGAUCAACCAAAAAUGAAACCUACGACUAUUGAGAAAAAAAAAAUUUCUUUGUAUUUUUCUUUUCAAUACAUGUAUGAAACACCUACUCUAAAUGAAGAGUAAAAAAAAUUUUUUUGAAUUUUUGAAAUAAGAUCAACCAAAAAUGAAACCUACGACUAUUGAGAAAAAAAUUUUUUUUAAUUUUUUUUAAAUAAGAUCCCCGAACCAACAAUAGGCUGUCUACGUAUCUCACAUCCCCAAAGAGGAGAAUCAGGGGUGUGUAGUUCGUCCAAUUUGGACAAUUAAAGAUUCACUGACAGAUUGACCCUAACUUAGAGACACGACCAAAGACAGACGAAUAAAAUCUUUUUGAGGUUUUCAAUUUGAGACUUCACAUAAAACUGACACCAACAACUCCGAAAGAAAAAUCUUUUUGGCAUUUUUUGUCAUAAGAAAUAUACAAAACUUCUACCAACUUUUUUUCAUUUUUCUUUUAUAAAAGCUCCUGUAAAAAAAAUCUUUUUUGGAAUUUUUGAAUUAUGAAUGCAUGGUAAAGGAGUAAAGGAAGAUCUUUUCUUUAAGAAAAUGAGUGCGAAAGGUAAAAAAUAUUUUUGAAUUGUGAAAAAUAAAAGUCAUAAAGAACUCUAAAAAUAAACUACGAAACUCUUUUUUUUUGUUCACCCUUUUUUUUCAACACUUUCUUGUCUACGCACUUUACUUCUAACACAUGUUUUCCCCAAAUCGGUCCGUCAAAUGACCACAUUACCCUCAGAGAUGUCACAUUUAGCGCGUAGGGAUGCUUUAGAGGUAAGUUUCCUUCAAAGGACCGUGUGGGUCCCUCUAGGUCUCAAUAUGAUGCACAUAAGAAUAACCUAAAGACUGACCUACGUUAUGGUUUACUAACAAGGCUGUUCGGGGAAGCAUAUGGUAGAUAGUGGCUACUUUGCUUUCCACCUACUCCAUACAUCCAAUGGCUCCCCCCUAAAAUAAAGGUGACUCAGCUAGAGUUCGUGCACACGACGUGCGCUCCGAGACUUGUUGCGAAAAGAAUGACUGAAGUUAUGCACAUGAUGUCAGAUAUAAAAGCGGUAACACAUAGGAUAAAUACUGUAAACAAAGAGCACGAAAACACACAAAAGUGAAAACACAAACAAAAAUCACAAACAAUGCUUAUACACUCGUAAUGCCAAACAAAGCGGAUACUCGGAUUCUGAAAUAGUUCCCCAGCAGAGUCACCAAAGCUGUCACACCCCUUUUUCGUACUCCAAAAGAUUAUGGAUUAAGUUUUGAAAGGAUUUUUAUUAUUAAAGUGACAAAAGAUGAAAAUUAGUUUCGAAAAGGACUUUUUAUAUUCAAAACUCAGAGUCGCCACUCGGCAUAAUCUGGUGUACCAAGUCACUUUUGGAAAUCCUUUUCAAAAUGGUUUUUGACUCUUCUAAACUGAUCCGCGAAAAGAAAUUCCGGCUAAGGAAUUUUGUUGACCGAGGGAAAGGUGUUAGGCAUCCCUCGAUCCCGUGGUUCGACCACGGUCGCUUGGUGGAGCGUAUCGAGUAAUUGACAUUACAAAUGUAUAAACCACACAAAAACACAUAAAACAAUCAAUCAAACACACAAAACAAAACAAAUCAAAAAUUUAGUGUUCAGUCCAAUUAUACAGCCCAAAAUAAAUAAAAAUGCAAAAAUAAAUUCUAUCUAACCUACACUAAUCCUAACUACGCUCUCGUGCUUUACCCGAUGCCUCGGGCCUUGAUCACGAACCUUCUUUGCUUACAUGAUCCGUCGGGGCAUUUCCCGAUGAAUAAACACAAUGUGUCUCGGGGCAUUCCCCAACUAAAUGAAUACAUUUGAAUUAAAUACGAUAAACUAGAAAGAAACAUUCACACGCACAUUCCACAUUCAACGAAACACCCAAGUUCUAAAUUUGCUUACCCAACCUACGUUUGCCUAUCAAUUGUCGGCCUAAACAUGAAACUAUCACAAUUAACAAUAUUGAUGAAUCAAAACAACAAUAUUCACUUUAUCAACUUUUAAUCUCAAUCCCACCCCAAAUUCAUUUACAACCACACGAUUAACUGAUUUCAAUAGAGAACCAACUGAUCAAGUCACGAUAAUUAUAAAAGCUCAAACACAUAAUCUGAAUCAUAUCAUCAAACUCGUACAAUUCACGUAAUUAACAUCAACACACCACGUUAAAAUAAAAAUAAAAUAAGAACAGAGUUGAAGAAAUGGACCUCAAAUGAUGUUUUGCAAUUAUAAUGAUAUCAGCAUCAACAAUAGAUGAAAGGAGCGACUUCGAACACGAAACCUCGAAUAAAAACCAAAUUCGUUUAUUGAAAUCCAACGUCAAGAGAUUCGAAUUCUGAUUGAAAAUAAAGAAUGAAUGAAGCCAAAACCCGAACUCUCAAACGAUAAAAACCUCAGCAACGUCUAAACCAACUCAAAAUUGAGCAACCAUAACCCAAACGGAUCAGAAUUCCAAACCAAUAAGAAACAGUAGAAUAUCCAGAACAAGAAUUUCAAUGGAAACCUAAAACCGAACGUGAAACUCUAGAAAUCCAAACCAAACAAGAAAUCAUUGAGAACAGGGAAUCAACGAAACCCAAAUCAAAAAUGAUUUGCCCCUUUUUAGGACUAGCCGAAUUCGGUUGUGGUUUUCACCAGAAUUAAUGGAGGAAGCAGUUGUUUUCCAAUGGGUCAUUUUUGGAGAGAGACGGUGGAUUCCGAUGAACCGUUCGCCGGAAAACUUGAACCAGUCAGCUAAGGUAUCUCUGUUCUGUGUUUUCAUACUUCUCACUCGAUUUCAACUCACUCCCUCUCUUUGUUGCGUCUUUCUCUCCGCUCCUCACCAUUUUCAAUCUCUGAUCACCCUCGAUCUCUGUCCCUCAUGUCAUUCUACUGCCAGCUACCUCUCUAUUUCUCUUCUCUACCUCACGAUCUCCCUUUCAAUCUCUUUACUGUGUGUAUUUUCGGUAGCUGUAAGUGAAUCCAUAUAUUCUAAGGGAAGAGAAAGAAGGGAUGAAUAUGGUGAAUCCCCCUUCUUUGAUCUGUAUAUGUGUGUAUAUAUCCCUGAAGAAGAAAAGAAGAGCCCCCUCUUUUUCUUUUUAAUUCAAGACCCUAAAAAAAUAAAAAUCCCCCCACUUUCUUUCUGGAUGUAAUUGUGUAUGUAUACGUGAGGUUGAGUGAAUUUGUUUUGCUGCAGGGCCCAUGUAUGUGAGGUGUCCUGAGGGAAAUUUCCUAGAAAAUUCCUUCUAGUUAUAUCUCUUUGUGGACAAGAAAAGGAGAGGGGGAGGUGUUGUUUUUUAAUUGGAGGGGUAAGGGUUAGGUGUCUUAUUUUAAUUGAAAGGGUUGUUAGGAUGUUAAAAAGAAUAAAAGUUUGUUAGGGAUUUUGUUGACAGUUGAUUUUUUUGUAUUUUUUGUGGGAUGUAAUUAAAUGGGUGAGGGUAUACGAUAGAACAAGGUAAAAAUGGGUAAAAAGUCAAUUUUGGGAGGACAAAAUUAGGUGUCUACAUUCAUAAAGUUCUAUCUCCUCUUUACGGACAUUUGUGUGUGUUCUGCCUACUAAACUUAGGUAAGCAAAGAGAAACUAUAAAAAGAAAGUUUGAACCAACGCCAUUUUACAUAAAUCUUCCAUGCAAAAAUUUGCACCCAAAAGAUAAGGUCACAACAAUCUAAUAAAUAUGUCUAAAGCAAGAAUCUACACACACACAUAAAUUCUUUUUAAAAAAAUGAACAAGAAGAAAGCAAAUGCUAUGGAUUUUGUGGCGAAAAAAAUUUGGACCGUUUCUCGAUUUUUGAGUGUCAUCCUUGAGAGGGGCCAUUCUAAUCUUCUCUGUAUUGUUCCAAAUUUAACGGAUGUCCCCAAAGGGAGAAACAUGCUCAUUACUGUUGUGCAUUAUAAACAAACAAAACUUCUUUCUGCAAACGAUGUGGGAGAAGUAACAGGUUGGGCUUUCUACCUAUAUGAACCUGGACUCCUUUUUCCUUGUUUCUUCGUCCCAUCUAAACAAGCCCUGCUGCGCCUGGAGUUAUAAAUUUGACAUACGAGACUAAAAUUGUAAAGAUUUGACUAACUUUUGAUGUUAUUUUGCCCGAAGCUUGGCCUUAUUAAGGCCAAACAUUAGACAUUUUAUACUGUGGAAUAGCCAUGACCAAGCCUGAAAUAUUUUUUUCGAACUUUAACUUUGGAUCGGCAGACUCUAACUUGAGACAUAUAAUAGCUGGUCAAGAAUCAAAUCAAUACGCAUAACCAAAUAUACAAGUGUUGGCGCUAGAUUAUACAGGUUCAGCUAAACUAAUAAGCUUUGGUCCAAAUUUUAUACUGUAUUUGUCUUAAAAAUUCAUUGAUAUACACAAAUUUUUAUUGAAAACCCAAUUACUUUGAGAAAAUUAGAAUCGUGAAUCCAUAAACUUUUAGUCCUCUUAUGUAGCCAUUAUACAUAGAUUGUUCAGUGCAAUUUGAGGAAUCCAAAGCAUAUGCACGAUAACUUGCUUGUGCUCUGCCUAAACUUAGGUAAGCAAACAAAAAUUAUAAGCAGAAAGUUUGACCCAAUGGCAUUUAACGUAAAGCUUCCAAGAUAAAAAUAUCCACCUCCGAAGAGGAAAUUUCACAACAAUCUAAGCUGAUUCCAGGAAAAAAAUAAAAGGAUUUUGCGAGGAAAAAAAUUUGGACCAUUUCUCAAUUUGUGCGUGUCAUCCCUGCGCAGGGGCCAUGCUAAUCUUCUCUGCAUCGUUCCAUUUUUAUCGGAUGUCCCCGAAGGGGCAAGCGUGCCUGCAGCUAUUGAGCUUUAUAAAGAGAGCAAAACUUCUUUCUGCAAACGAUGUGGCAGAAAUAAUAGUUUGGGAUUUUCGCAGGCGCAAACCUGGACUCCUUUUUUUGCUUGUUUCUUCGUCCCAUCUAAACAAGCCCGUCUGUGCCUAGAGUUUAGCGCAUCCACAAUUUUAAUAUGGGCCCCAACAUUGUAAACAAGAAUUGACAUGAGUCCUAUUCUUAUACCACGUAUAGAAAUAAACUUUAGCCUAACUCAAACCCGAAAGCUAUAUCAAGAAGUGAGAAUUCUCAAGUCAUAAUAAAAGAGACUACUUAUUCCUUAACGAGCUAUAUGAGAUGUUUCACAAACUUGUACCCAUUGAGGUCGUUUCAUUAAAGGGAUAUGAAAGACGAAUAUUCCGUGGGACUAACUAUUUCACCCUUUUAAGAAGUUACAAAAUGAUCCCAAAAUUAUUUAUCCCGAAAUAUUGUCCUUAUAGUAGCCCAUUCUUCUUGGUCUUUCUCCAUAGUCCACAUAAAAGGAGCUUUUAAGAAGUUACCUACUAGCAGUCACUAAUUUUGAAAGGCUGAACAAGAAAUUGAUUGAUAUGCCUGUCUAGUAGCACGAAGAUGGGGUUGAGGGUAAAGUAUUUAUUCAAUCUGAUAAGUCAUAAUAAAAGCAAUUUAUAAUACUAUUGAUGUCCACUGCUCAUUUCUGGUUUUCUCAAUUUGUCAUGCCUCUUAUCUCUAAUUUCUCAGUCUAUCCGGGCGAAGCCCGUGAUAGAAGGUCCAGGUAUGAAUGCUACUAUGAGUUAAUUUAGACGAAUUAAGAUGAGUUAAGCUAUAAACGAACAGGUUUAAUUUUGGCUGAAAUAACCUAUUCAACUCACUUGGCCUUGUCCAUUUUACAUUGGUUGUUCAAUGCAAAUUGAGUAGUUCUUGCAUAUGCACAAUAACUUGUUUAAUGUAUUCAUCUCCUCUUUCCCAUUUGUGUGUGUUCUGCCUAAACUUACUUAAGCAAGAAAAAAUGUAAAGAGAAAGUUAAUAAUAUUUGACCUAAUGCCACUUGACAUGAAUCUUCCAAGACAAAUUUGCACACUAAAAACAUAAGGUCUAUACAAUUUGUGUAAUGCACUAGAGGAGAAGAAAUUUCACUACAAUCUAAUCAAUAUGUGUAAAGCCAGAAGCUUUUUAACAUACAUAGAAAAUGAGUGGAAAAGAAAAACACAACCACACGAAGAAAUUGGGAAAAGUUAGGAAAAAAAUUUGGACCAUUUCUCGAUUUGUGCGUGUCAUCCUUGCGCAAGGGCUAUGCUAAUCUUCUCGCAUGCCUGCUGUUGUUGUACUUUAUAAAGAGAGAAAAACUUCUUUCUGUAAAUGAUGUGGGAGAAAUAACAAGUUAGGCUUGUUUCCUUGUCCCAUCUGAAUAAGCCCAGCUAUGCCCAGAACGGGCUCUCUCGUUUGUUUCAAGCAUUUUUAGCUAACAUUUUUUUUGUGUAAACAACAUAAAUCCCCUAACUUGGAUGGUGGUUUGCCAUGGUUGCAUAAUAUACGGUACCAUACGGUAUGGUAUUGUACUGUACAGUAUAAUACAAUAACAUGUUUGGAUAUACUGUAUCGUUCAUUGCUGGUUAAUAAUAAUUUUAUUGUUUGGUUUGACAGUAUGGUACUGCAUCAUAACUGAUAAGUUUACUAAAAUAUCUUUAAUGAUUAUAAAUAUUAAAUUUAUCAGUAAUUAUUAGUAAAAUAAUUUUCUUCCUACUAAUUUGUCAUAAAUUAUGUCAUGUAGAUAUAUUAAGUUGUUAGAUUCAUGUAAAUUCAAACAAAGUCAAUAAAGAAGAAGAUCAAAAUAACUAUAAUCAGAUACAUUUUUUAUAGUAACAAAUUUUAUCUCUUUUUGGUGUUUUGAGAUGUGAUACCAAUGACAAAUAUAAAGUUUGAAUGCAUCUCUUGUGUAUGCUAUGUGUAUGUUCGGUGUUGAAUUUUAAAAAAUAUAUUCGUAAGGCUUGGUCUAAAUUUUUUACACGUAUUCGCUUUCGUAAAAUUGGUCAGUUCUCCUUAAUUCAAUUUUCGGAAGAAUGAGAUCUUUUGCUUUCUUACAAAAUGAAUAGAAAAAAAUAGCUUAUUCAAAUUAAACAUCGUUUAAUAGCUGAAUUUUUCCAAUUUCAAUAGAUCUUUUAUUGGGAAAAUAGAGUCGAUUGAUGUGAUAGUUGUUACGUAUCAUUUCAUAAGUUAUUAUGUUUUAUUGUAUUGUAGUGUGCAUUGUUUUAAUGAGUAUAACAUUUGAAUAUUGUACUAUCAUUUUUCGGUUGUUACAUAAUGUUACAUAUUAAUUAAUAAUUUAAAAGAUAAACCUACAUAAUUACGCAUGCAUAAUUUUAUAUCGAAGGGGAUUCAAUGCCCCCUCGCCCAGCUUUACCGAGGUCCGAUCUGAUUACUUUUGUGGACCAAAACAAGUGAAAGUUCAUUUUGAUAUUGGAAGACCUUGAAUACAAGAUAUUUCUUUGCUCUGAUAUUUAUACUAGCUUUAUAGAUUGUUGGGUGUGCGAACAAAAGUCUCAUGAUAGUAGCUGAAAGGAUUAGAAGCUACAUAUAUCGAGGAGGGUCUUUUAAUGGUGCGAGAUCUUUUGAGGAAAACCGUACGGGAUUGACCCACAACUGAUAAUAUCAAAGCAUUUAAAAGUGUCUUUGGGUUGAUUUAGCCAACAUAGAUGAUACACUCUUAUCGUCAGAGUUUAAUCAUUCCAUCCUCUGUUCUACAUAAAAUUAUACAUAGAUUUCCUCAUAAUUUAUGCAUGUAUUAGUCAUACGAGUCUCUAAAUUGCAAAUCGAAUGUUGCAUUAGUUUUAUACAUAAUCCUAACUAACUACCAAACAUGGUAUUAUGUAUUACUUAUGCAACAUCUUAUUAUACACAUAGAGUAUUAUUUUUCUUAACCAACUACAUACCAAAUGACCUUUAAUUUGUACUACUAUAUACUAAUGUUGAGUACUACUUUCAAACUCAAUUUUACUAUUCUGAUUCUUUUUUUCUUUUUGGAAUAAAUUCAAUAAAUAAUCACAAUAAUGCUCACUUUUGAAACUUCUAUUUAUAGGUCGUGUAAAGCUGCGUCGUGAUGUGAGGAAAUGCGAACACGACGAUGUUCAUAUUUUUUGGGAUAUUCUCAAAAAAAAAUGAAUCAGUCGAUGCUGCCAAAUCUCAUUCUGGACGCAAGAAAGUUCGAUUUUGGGAUAUAAUUGAUUGGGCUAAACGUGCCCCCUUCAUUUGUCGUAGCGUGUGAUCAUAAAUUUUUAUUGUAUUUUUUUUGGUUUGCAUAUCUAAAAUAUAUAUAUAUAUAUAUAUNNNNNNNNNNNNNNNNNNNNNNNNNNNNNNNNNNNNNNNNNNNNNNNNNNNNNNNNNNNNNNNNNNNNNNNNNNNNNNNNNNNNNNNNNNNNNNNNNNNNNNNNNNNNNNNNNNNNNNNNNNNNNNNNNNNNNNNNNNNNNNNNNNNNNNNNNNNNNNNNNNNNNNNNNNNNNNNNNNNNNNNNNNNNNNNNNNNNNNNNNNNNNNNNNNNNNNNNNNNNNNNNNNNNNNNNNNNNNNNNNNNNNNNNNNNNNNNNNNNNUUUCAGUAUUUCUUGGUGUGAAAUAAGUUAGUUUUCGGUAUAUACGACUUUGUGACCUUCUGAAUUUGUAGCCAGUCGCGGAGCCAGGAUUUUCACGAAGAGGGUUUAGAAAUAACUUACGAACAAAUCAAAAGGGGUUCAACAUCCACUAUAAUAAUUUUAACCGAAUAGUAUAAUUUUUCACCAAAGGAGGUUCGGUGACCCCUCGCCGAAUGGUAGCUCGGCCCCUGCUUGUAGGCUGUAGCAUUUGCAAAAUAUAACCAUACAAGGGGUGGAGUUAGAGUAUAACAUAUGGGUUCGACUGAACUAAUACGCUUUGGUUCAUUGAUAUACACAAAAGUUUAAUUUAAAAUCCAAUUAUUUAAAAAUAAAAAUUAAAAUCUUGAAUUCAUAAAGUUCUAUCUCCUCUUUACGGCCAUUUGUGUAUGUUCUGCCUACUAAACUUAGGUAAGCAAAGAGAAACUAUAAACAGAAAGUUUGAACCAACGCCAUUUUACAUAAAUCUUCCAUGCAAAAAUUUGCACCCAAAAGAUAAGGUCACAACAAUCUAAUAAAUAUGUCUAAAGCAAGAAGCUACACACACAUUAAAUUCUUUGAAAAAAAAUGAACAAGAAGAAAGCAAAUGCUAUGGAUUUUGUGGCGAAAAAAAUUUGGACCAUUUCUCGAUUUGUGCGUGUCAUCCUUGCGCAGGGGCCAUGCUAAUCUUCCCUGUAUCGUUCCAAUUUUAACGGAUGUCCCCAAAGGGAGAAACAUGCUCAUUACUGUUGUGCAUUAUAAACAAGCAAAACUUCUUUCUGCAAACGAUGUGGGAGAAGUAACAGGUUGGGCUUUCUACCUAUAUGGACCUGGACUCCUUUUUCCUUGUUUCUUCGUCCCAUCUAAACAAGUCUUGCUGUGCCUGGAGUUAUAAAUUUGACAUACGAGACUAAAAUUGUAAAGAUUUGACUAACUUUUGACGUUGUUUUGCCCGAAGCAUGGCCUUAUUAAGGCCAAACAUUAGACAUUUUAUACUAUGGCAUUGCCAUGUGUAGACACGUAAUUUUGUCCUUUCCCGAUAGCAUUUUUUACUCAUUUUUACCUUAUCCUACCGUAUACCCUCACCUAUGUAAUUACAUCCCACAAAAAUAUAAAAAAAAAAUAUAACUUUCAACAAAAUCCCUAACAAACUUUUAUUCUUUUUAACAUCCUAACAACCCUUUCAAUGAAAAGAAGACACAUCACCCAUACCCAUACUCCACCAUCCCAUAUCCACAUGACCCCCCCUCUUCUUUUCUUGGCCAUAAAGGAAAAUAUACAUGGAGGAAACUUCCAAGAAACAACAACAAGAACUAGGAGGGACCACAAUUGGGAAUCCAAGGUAAAGAACGGAUAUAUACAUAUGCAUAUAUCACAAAUGGGACACUCUUCAUUUUUUCCAUUCCAUCAUCAUCAAUAUAUAAAUGCACACACUCCAUUUUGGGGGAUAUAUACACACUUAUACAUAGAACUUCGAAAAAAAAAAAAGAAUUCUUCCAUUUCCAUUCCAUAGAUAUACUUAUCCACAAAACAACCAACACACAAUACACCAUUAACCUCACCAUUAAUAGACAGCUUCCUCACCAUUCCAACAGCUCACAUACUCCUUGAUGGCUCCAUUUUCCCAUUCUUUUACUCUUACCAGAACACACACCCACAGCUACCAUAUACACAAUUACAUACUUCACUUAAGACUCACACUCACAGCACAUGAAAAAAAAAAAAAAGAAUUCACCUUCUUCUCCAACAUCUACUCACAGACACCCUCACUAAUAUUUUUCAUUCACCAUACUUCACCCAUAUACGAUCCCUCAUCCUCACCAUAGUAGAUCUUACUCACGAGAAACCAACAUUAACGCACACACUACACAAAUACAGACCACAAAGAAUAACAACACAGUGAGAUGGCGAGAAGAGAGUAGAUCAAGAGAGGGCGGCGAAGAGAGAGAGUAGAGUACAGUAAGGGUAAAUUGAGAGGAUGAAGAGAGUUUGAACAAGGUUUGGCCAGUUUCUGGAUAUUCUUUGGCAAAAUCUCACUGGAAGUGACCCGUGUUCAUCGUUGCUUGGUCUAAGCUCGCCGGAUUUGGCCUCGAUCUCACCGAAACUGGUUUCUCUUUCAUCGUCUAAUCAUUCUCAUCACGAAAUCGCCAAAAACUCUUUGUUUUCCUCUGAUUUUUUGGGGUGAAUUCGGUCGAGAUAUGUUAGGGGGUCACCGGAAUUGGUUUUCGUUUGUCAAUCGGAUCGGUUUAAGCACCCCAAAAACAUCGAAACUAGCAUUAGUUCUAGGUAUUUCUAUAUGGGUUGGCUCCUUUGGAAUUUUGUAUGGGUACCUCUCAUUUCUUUACAAGACUGACCCCGUUUGGUUCGAUAUUUCUUCUUCAUUUCUGUUCGAAAAUUGGGUUUUCAAACAAACUACAAGAUCGAAGUGGAUAUCGAGUUGGGGGUUGUCGUUUGAGGUUCAAUCGGGACAUUUCGAAUCCGGCUCCAUUUUCUAAUCACAUAAUUCGGCAUAUAAAAGUCCAUUUAGGGUCUAACUCUAUCUCUUCUAAUUUUACUUUACUAUACGUGUUUGAUUUGCCUGAUGUGUGGUUGAAUUUUGGUGAUAUUAAUUUGGUGUUUGAUUUCGUUGAAUAGAUGGUUGUGGAUUGUUGAGAUAACUGUCUUGAAUCGUUGGAAUUUGGUAUAAAAAUGGAAUAAGAGGGGCGAGAAUUAAAAACUUGAUAUAAUUAGUGAAUUGUGAUUAUUUUGAUUCAUGAGUUGUUUGACUUGAAAUAAACGUUAAUUGAAUGUGGUAGUAUCAAGAUACGCCGAUUGGAAUAGGCAAGUCGUAGUUCGGGUAGGCAAAAUCUAGAGAUUGUGGGUUUAUUGAAUGUUUGAAAUUUGAUUGAAUGGUUUGAUUUUAUCACUUUUGAAUCAAUUGUAUAAUUUGGCCGGGGAAUGCCCCAAAGUAUCUGUAUAUAUUUAUUCACCGUGGAAUGCCCUGACGUAUCAUGUACCCGGAGGACGUUCAUGAUGAAGGCUCGAGGCGUCGGGUAGAGCAUUAGUCUAGAAUUAAUUUAGAGUAGGAUUUAUUUUUACACAUUUUUUAUUUUUGGACUGUAUAAUUGGACUGAACACUAAAUUUUGGAUUGUUUUAUCUUGUUUGCUGGAUUGAUUGUUUUGCAUGUUUUGUGUGGUUUAUAUAUUCAUAAUGUCAAAUUAGCCUAUAUGCUCCGCCAACGACCGUGGUCAAACCACGGGAUCGAGGGGUGCCUAACACCUUCCCCUCGGUCAACAGAAUUCCUUAGCCAGAAUCUCUGUUCGCAAACCAGUUUUAAAGAGUCAAACCAUUUCGAAAAGAAUUUUCCAAAGGUGACUUGGCACACCGGAUUAUACCAAGUGGCGAAUCUGAAUUUAAUUAUAAAAAAUACUUUUCGGAACAGAAUUUUCAUUUUUUGUCACUUAAUAAUAAAACCCUUUCGAACUUAAAAAUUAAUCUUUUGGAUGUUGAAAAAGGGGUGUGACAGCUCUGGCGACUCUCCUGGGGAUCUAUUUUAGAAUUUGAGUAUCGGCUUUGUUUUGCAUUACGAGUGUAUAAGCAUUGUUUCUGAUUUUUCUUUGUGUUUUCACUUUUGUGCAUUUUCGUGCUCUUUGUUUACAGUAUUUAUCCUAUGUGUUGCCGCUUUUAUAUCUGACAUCAUGUGCAUAACCGGAGUCAUUCUUUCCGCAACAAGUCUCGGAUCGCACGUCGUGUGUACGAACUCUAGCUGAGUCACCUUUAUUUUAGGAGGGAGCCAUUGGAUGUAUGGAGUAGGUGGAAAGCAAAGCAGCCACUAUCGACCAUAUGCUUCCCCGAAUGGCCUUGUUAGUAAACCACAACGGAUGUCAGUCUUUAGGUCAUUUUUAUGUGCAUCAUAUUGAGACCUAGAGGGACCCACACGGUCCUUUGAAGGAAACUCACCUCUAAAGAAUCCCUACGUGCUAAAUGUGACAUCUCUGAGGGUAAUGUGGUCAUUUGACGGACCGAUUUGGGAAAAACAUGUGUUAGAAGUAAAGUGCAUAGAUAAGAAAGUGUUAAAAAAAAGGGUGAAUAAAAAAAAAGAGUUUCGUAGUUUAUUUUUAGAGUUCUUUAUGGCUUUUGUUUUUCACAAUUCAAAAAGAUUUUUUACCUUUCGCACUCAUUUUCUUAAAGACAUCAAAAAAAUCUUCCUUUACUCUUUUACCAUGCAUUCAUAAUUCAAAACUUCCAAAAAAGAUUUUUUUUACAGGAGCUUUUAUAAAAGAAAAAUGAAAAAAAGUUGGUAGAAGCUUUGUAUAUUUCUUAUAACAAAAAUGCCAAAAAGAUUUUUCUUUCAGAGUUGUUGGUGUCAGUUUUAUGUGAAGUCUCAAAUUGAAAACCUCAAAAAGAUUUUAUUCGUUUGUCUUUGGUCAUGUCUCUUAAGUUAGGGUCAAUCUGUCAGUGAAUCCUUAAUUGUCCAAAUUGGACGAACUACGCACCCCUGAUUCUCCUUUUUCGGGAUGUGAGAUACAUAGGCAGCCUAUUGUUGGUUCGGGGAUCUUAUUUAAAAAAGAUUUUUUUUCACUCUUCAUUUAGAGUAGGUGUUUCAUACAUGUAUUGAAAAGAAAAAUACAAAGAAAAAAAAAGAUUUUUCUCAAUAGUCGUAGGUUUCAUUUUUGGUUGAUCUUAUUUCAAAAAUUCAAAAANNNNNNNNNNNNNNNNNNNNNNNNNNNNNNNNNNNNNNNNNNNNNNNNNNNNNNNNNNNNNNNNNNNNNNNNNNNNNNNNNNNNNNNNNNNNUUUGUAUAGGGAUGUUAAAGCUGAAAAAUUCAAAAAUAUUUUCGUCAAUUCUUUUGACAAAUUGUUAUUUUCUUUUCUUCUUAAAGUUUUGAGGAAUAAAAAAAUAGAAAAAGAGUUCAAUUGGCCAUUUUGGCAUGACUUCACGAACUACGCACACCUGAUUCUCCCCUUUCGGGGGUGAGAUACGUAGGCUCCCUUCUAGGGUUUGGUGAUUUUUUUUCAAGAAAAAAAAAGGGUUUUGAAAAAUGUUGAACUCUAAUAUAUUUGUUGCCUCUUGUUCAGUUAGUUUAAGGUGGUUGGUUUGUGGCUUCCUGGCUGGUCCUCCAUAUCACACCAAAUCCAAGGAAGUGUUAGUUGUGUCCAACAAAGAUAUAGAGAGUGGCAUCAUAGAUGAAACAAAGAGUCAGGAAAUUGAGAGUUUAAAGGAAGAGAAUUUGAGACUGAGACAACAAAUGAUGGGAAUGUACCGAGCUUGGGCCAGUCGGCUGCCUCCACCUCCGUUCCCCACUUUUGACCCUACAAAUACCUUGAGUCUUCUACCAAAAUCGCAAAGUCAGUUUCCUACUAUUGUUGAUGCACCACAGCAUGCCUCAGAAUCCAUUCCACAUCAAAUAUACCUCAACACUUCCACUAUUCUUUCUUUAUCUCCUCAGUAUACCACAUUCACAGCACCACAUACCAUCUGUUCUUUUGUUGCUCAACCUUCUACUAUGGCUUCCAUUUUGUCUAUCAAUCCAACGAUUGUGCUUCUCCAAUCCACUAGUGACUCCACGUUCAAUACUAUUGAUGAUCAUUGGUAUACUCUUGAGCCUACAGUUAAGUUAAGUGAACUGCUAAAAUUUCUUACUAAGAAGCCUAGCAUGCCAAAAGAGCCAGAGAAAAUGGUUGGGAAAGUGAAGAGUGUAGAAAAUGAUAUGAAAAAUUCCCCUAGACUUAUGGUCUAUGAAGAUGUUUUAUAGAAAAGCUGGGGCAUGUCUUCAAGUGUUAACCUUCCUCCCAGCUUUGAGACAUCAAAAUUUGGGGAGCCUGAUAGACAGAAGGAUUCUGUGAAACAUUCGGGACGAAAUUGCUAUCAACCAAGGGAAACUGAAGGAAAGAAGAAGGAAAAUGCACCUAUUGUCAUGACAGGGCCAAAGCGGAGUUUGAGAGGAACAGAAAGAAACUCAGCUCCAAAAGUUAUUUGUCCUACCCCACUUCAAGUGUCGUUUGGGCCCUAUGCCAUCCUUUUUUUCUAACCUUAUACAAAAGCCAAGUUACAACCAAAGAAAUACCUUCAGAUCAAUCUUUAAGGAUGUUAAGGCGGAGCAUACAAGGGAUAUGAUGAUGCAUUUGGGAAUUAUUUGUCUUCCUUAGAAUAGGGAAUCAAGAGAGAAACAAAAAUGAGAGAGUCUUAUUGGUGAAAACCCUUACGGGCACCAUAAGGCGAUGGAAAGUUGAGAGAAAUAAAAAUGAGAGAGUCUUAUAGGUGAAAACCCUCAUGGGCACCAUAAGGCGAUAGUGAGCUGAGAGAAAAUAAAAGAAGCUUGUUGGCGAAAACCCUUCAAGGCACCACUAGCCGAAUGGGGUCUUAAAUGCAAUUGACCUAAGAAAGCAACUCAGUUUCAAGGCCAUUAACUCAACAACAAUGGGUAGAAAGUUUGGAUGAAAAGAUCAAGCUGCUUAAUCCAAAAUGCAUGGCAUAAUUAUUAGUGUUGACUGUCAUUUUUAGAUGAAUUUUUCGUUUCUUUUUUUUAAAAGGGGACAUUCAUUGUUUUUCUUUCUUCUCUUUAUUUCAAUUUUAUCUUUCUUAAGUCAGUUAUUAAAACAAAAAUUGUCAUUCUUUUUUUUUUGUUUCUUGUCUUUGAGUCAAGUCCGUGUCAAAACAAGUGAGAAAAGAUUUCAAAACUGGCAACCAGCUUCUUUAAUUGCACAAAGCAAGAAAAAAGCUAGCACAUGAAAGAGACAUAAUUGUGAUCCCAAAAAAGGCAUGCAGGAAGUUUUGUCAACAGAGAAGUCCGGGAACUCAUGGAAAUACAAAGAUUCAAAGGGUUUAUUUGAGAAACGCGACAAAGCAGAAAUACUGUGUUUGUUUCAGAGUCACUCUUAAUAAGCUAAGUUUGAGUCAAUGAUACAGCAAGUCAAUGACAUAUGCUAAUGGUUGGAAACAAAGCUAAAUGUGACGGGGGCAGGAGCAAUUUCCUCAAAAGCCAAUGCCACAAACUAGCCACCAUGUUUUAAACUCACAAGUUUUCUUUGUAUGUAAUUAGGAAUACAUGUUGCAUUCAGAUCAAGGAUUUCAGAGCCUAAACAUCAAAGGCCGUAAUUUCUCACCUCAACAAAUGCAAGAGGAAAGGUUGCUGCACAAGUUUGAUAAUCAAAACCAUGGUAUAACUCAUAAUUCAAGAUCUCUAAGAGAUGUACUUCCUUGUUUUGAUAAUUCAAACAACAUUGAUAAGGAAACACACUUCCUUGUUUGGGUAUAAAAAUGGAAUAAGUGGGGCGACAAUUGAAAACUUGAUAUAAUUAGUGAAUUUUGAUUAGUUUGAUUAAUUAGUUGUUUGACUUGAAAUAAACGUUAAUUGAAUUUGGUAGUAUCAAGAUACGUCGAUUGGAAUAGGCAAGACGUAGGUCGGGUAGGCAAAAUCUAGAGAUUGUGGGUUGAUUGAAUGUUUGAAAUUUGAUUGAAUGGUUUGAUUUUAUCACUUUUGAAUCAAUUGUAUAAUUUGGAAGGGGAAUGCCCCGAAGUAUCCGUAUAUAUUUAUUCAUCGGAGAAUGCCUCGAGGUAUCAUGUACCCAGAGGACGUUCGUGAUGAAGGCCCAAGGCGUCGGGUAGAGCAUUAGUCUAGAAUUAAUUUAGAGUAGGAUUUAUUUUUACACAUUUUUAUUUUUGGACUGUAUAAUUGGACUGAACACUAAAUUUUGGAUUGUUUUAUCUUGUUUGCUUGAUUGAUUGUUUUGCAUGUUUUGUGUGGUUUAAAUAUUCAUAAUGUCAAAUUAGCCUAUACGCUCCGCCAAGCGACCGUGGUCAAACCACGGGAUCAAGGGGUGCCUAACACCUUCCCCUUAGUCAACAGAAUUCCUUAGCCGGAAUCUCUGUUCGCAAACCAGUUUUAAAGAGUCAAAUCAUUUCGAAAAGAAUUUUUCAAAGGGACUUGGCACACCGGAUUAUGCCAAGUGGAGACUCUGAAUUUAAUUAUAAAAAAUUCUUUUCGAAACAGAAUUUUCAUUUUUUUGUCACUUGAUAAUCCCUUUCGAACUUAAAAAUUAAUCUUUUGGAUGUUGAAAAAGGGGUGUGACACUAUGACCAAGCCUGAAAUAUUUUUUUCGAACUUUAACUUGGAUCGGCAGACUCUAACUUGAGACAUAUAAUAGCUGGUCAAGAAUCAAAUCAAUACGCAUAACCAUAUAUACAAGUGUUGGCGCUAGAUUAUACAGGUUCAGCCAAAUUAAUAAGCUUUGGUCCAAAUUUUAUACUGUAUUUGUCUUAAAAAUUCAUUGAUAUACACAAAUUUUUAUUGAAAACCCAAUUACUUUGAGAAAAUUAGAAUCGUGAAUCCAUAAACUUUCAAUUCUCUUAUGUAGCCAUUAUACAUAGAUUGUUCAGUGCAAUUUGAGGAGUCCAAAGCAUAUGCACGAUAACUUGCUUGUGCUCUGCCUAAACUUAGGUAAGCAAACAAAAAUUAUAAGCAGAAAGUUUGACCCAAUGGCAUUUAACGUAAAGCUUCCAAGACAAAAAUAUCCACUUCAGAAGCGGAAAUUUCACAACAAUCUAAGCUGAUUCCAGGAAAAAAAUAAAAGGAUUUUGGGAGGAAAAAAAUUUGGACCGUUUCUCGAUUUAUGCGUGUCAUUCCUACGCAGGGGCCAUGCUAAUCUUCUCUGUAUCGUUCCAUUUUUAUCGGAUGUCCCUGAAGGGACAAGCGUUCCUGCUACUGUUGAGCUUUAUAAAGAGAGCAAAACUUCUUUCUACAAACGAUGUGGCAGAAAUAACAGUUUGGGGUUUUCACAGGCGCAAACCUAGACUCCUUUUUUUGCUUGUUUCCUCGUCCCAUAUGAACAAGCCCGUCUGUGCCUGGAGUUAAUCUAUAAUGGGUUGGCCUUCUUUAUUUAAUUUGAUUUGCAAUAUGAGAAAUGGUACAGCCUUGCUCUCCAAUUUGUCUACUUUUGGAAACUGCAUUUUAGCUACAGUUUUUUGCUUUUGCUUUUAUGUUCAUUCAUGCAUAUAGAGCCCAACUGAUCCUAGAGUUUAGAUUUGACCCCAAAGAACACUAGUCAGGUCCAUAUUCAACUUGUAAAGAAAUGAAUCUGGACCUUAAUUCAAAUCUAAAAGCUAGCUCAAAAGAUAUAAAAUUGCCUAAGGUAUAUUUUAAGAAACCAUACAUCUCUUGAAGGGUAGAUGUGGAACGGUUUUUACCCCUUCUCACGUUCAAUACUAAAUAUUUAGCGCAUCUACAAUUUUAAUAUGGGCCCCAACAUCGUAAACAAGAAUUGACACGAGUCCUAUCCUUAUACCAUGUAGAGAAAUAAACUUAAGCCUAACUCAAACCCGAAAGCUAUAUCAAGAAAUGAGAAUUCUCUAGUCAUAAUAAAAGAGACUUUUUAUUCCUUAAUGAGCUAUAUGAGACGUUUCACGAACUUGUACCCAUUGAGGUCGUUUAAUUAAUGGGAUAUGAAAGACGAAUAUUCCGUGGGACUAACUAUUUCACCCUUUUAAGAAGUUAUAAAAUGAACCCGAAAUUAUUUAUCCCAAAAUAUUGUCCUUAUAGUAGCCAAUUUUUCUUGGUCUUUCUCCAUAGUCCACAUAAAAGGAGCUUUUAAGAAGUUACCUACUAGCAGUCACUAAUUUUGAAAGGCUGAACAAGAAAUUGAUUGAUAUGCCUGUCUGGUAGCACGAAAAUGGGGUUGAGGGUAAAGUAUUUAUUCAAUCUGGUAAGUCAUAAUAAAAGCAAUUUAUAAUAUUAUUGAUGUCCACUGCUCAUUUCUCGUUUUCUCAAUUUGCCAUGCCUCUAAUCUCUAAUUUCUCAGUCUAUCUAGGUGAAGCCCGUGAUAGAAGGUCCAGGUAUGAAUGCUACUAUGAGUUAACUUAGAAGAAUUAAGAUGAGUUAAGCUAUAAACGAACAGGUUUUAUUUUGACUGAAAUAACCUAUUCAACUCACUUGGCCUUGUCCAUUUUACAUUGGUUGUUCAAUGCAAAUUGAGUAGUCCUUGCAUAUGCACAAUAACUUGUUUAAUGUAUUCAUCUCCUCUUUCCCAUUUGUGUGUGUUUUGCCUAAACUUACUUAAGCAAGACAAACUGUAAACAGAAAUUUAAUUACAUUUAACCUAAUGCCACUUGACAUGAAUCUUCCAAGACAAAUUUGCACACUAAAAACAUAAGGUCGAUACAAUUUGUGUAAUGCACUAGAGGAGAAGAAAUUUCACUACAAUCUAAUCAAUAUGUGUAAAGCCAGAAGCUUUUUAACAUACAUAGAAAAUGAGUGGAAAAGCAAAACACAACCACACGUAGAAAUUGGGAAAAGUUAGGAAAAAAAUUUGGAACAUUUCUCGAUUUGUGUGUGUCAUCCUUGCGCAGGGGCCAUGCUAAUCUUCUCGCAUGCCUGCUACUGUUGUACUUUAUAAAGAGAGAAAAACUUCUUUCUGUAAACGAUGUGGGAGAAAUAACAAGUUAGGCUUGUUUCUUUGUCCCAUCUGAAUAAGUCCAGCUAUGCCCACAACGGGCUCUCUCAUUUGUUUCAAGCAUUUUUAGCUAACAUUUUUUUUUGUGUAAACAACAUAAACCCCUAACUUGGAUGGUGGUUUGCCAUGGUUGCAUAAUGUACGGUACCAUACGUCAUGGUAUUGUACUGUACAGUAUAAUACAAUACCAUGUUUGGAUAGACUGUAUCGUUCAUUGCUGGUUAAUAAUAAUUUUAUUGUUUGGUUUGACAGUAUGGUACUGCAUCGUAACUGAUAAGUUUACUCAAAUAUCUUUAAUGAUUAUAAAUAUUAAAUUUAUCAGUAAUUAUUUGUAAAAAAAAUUUCUUCCUACUAAUUUGACAUAAAUUAUGUCAUGUAGAUAUAUUAAGUUGUUAGAUUCAUGUAAAUUCUAACAAAGUCAAUAAAGAAGAAGAUCAAAAUAACUAUAACCAGAUUCAUUUUUCAUGGUAACAAAUUUUAUCUCUUUUUGGUGUUUUGAGACGUGAUACCAACGACAAAUAUAAAGUUUGAAUGCAUCUCUUGUGUAUGCUAUGUGUAUGUUCGGUGUUGAAUUUUAAAAAAUAUUUUCAAGAAAAAUAUAUUCGUAAAGCUUGGUCUAAAUUUUCUACACGUAUUCGCUUUCGUAAAAUUGGUCAGUUCUCCUUAAUUCAAUUUUUGAGAAAAUGAGAUCUUUUGCUUUCUUACAAAAUGAAUAGAAGAAAAUAGCCUAUUCAAAUUAAACAUCGUUUAAUAGCUGAAUUUUUCCAAUUUCAAUAGAUCUAUUAUCGGGAAAAUAGAGUCGAUUGAUGUGAUAGUUGUUACGUAUCGUUUCAUAAGUUAUUAUGUUUUAUUGUAUUGUAGUGUGCAUUGUUUUAAUGAGUAUAACAUUUGAAGAUUGUACUAUCAUUUUUCGGUUGUUACAUAAUGUUACAUAUUAAUUAAUAAUUUAAAAGAUAAACCUAGAUAAUUACGCAUGCAUAAUUUUCUAUCGAAGGGGAUUCAAUGCCCCCUCGCCCAACUCUACCGAGGUCCGAUUUGAUUACUUUUGUGGACCAAAACAAGUGAAAUUUCAUUUUGAUAUUGGAAGACCUUGAAUACAAGAUAUUUCUUUGCUCUGAUAUUUAUACUAGCUUUAUAGAUUGUUGGGUGUGCGAACAAAAGUCUCAUGAUUGUAGAUGAAAGGAUUAGAAGCUUCAUAUAUCGUGUAGGGUCUUUUAAUGGUACGAGAUCUUUUGAGGAAAACCGUACGGGAUUGACCCAUAACUGAUAAUAUCACAGCAUUUAAAAGUGUCUUUAGGUUGAUUUAGCCAACAUAGAUGAUACACUCUUAUCGUCAGAGUUUAAUCAUUCCAUCCUCUGUUCUACAUAAAAUUAUACAUAGAUUUCCUCAUAAUUUAUACAUGUAUUAGUCAUACGAGUCUCUAAAUUGCAAAUGGAAUGUUGCAUUAGUUUUAUACAUAAUCCUAACUAACUACCAAACAUGGUAUUAUGUAUUACUUAUGCAACAUCUUAUUAUACACAUAGAGUAUUAUUUUUCUUAACCAACUAUAUACCAAACGACCUUUAAUUUGUACUACUAUAUACUAAUGAUGAGUACUACUUUCAAACUCAAUUUUACUAUUCUGAUUGUUCUUUUUGGAAUAAAUUCAUUAUAUAAUCACAAUAAUGCUCACUUUUGAAACUUCUAUUUAUAGGUCGUGUAAAGCUGCGUCGUGAUGAGAGGAAAUGCGAACACGGUGAUGUUCAUAUUUUUUGGGAUAUUCUCAAAAAAAAAUGAAACAGUCGAUGCUGCCAAAUCUCAUUCUGGACGCAAGAAAGUUCGAUUUUGGGAUAUAAUUGAUUGGGCUAAACGUGCCCCCUUCAUUUGUCGUAGCGUGUGAUCGUAAAUUUUUAUUGUAUUUAUUUUGGUUGCAUAUCUCAAAUAUAUACAUACAUAUAUAUAUAUAUAUAUAUAUAUAUAUAUAUAUAUAUAUUUGUGUUUUUUUACUAUAUGAAUGAUCGUGAACUCUUUNNNNNNNNNNNNNNNNNNNNNNNNNNNNNNNNNNNNNNNNNNNNNNNNNNNNNNNNNNNNNNNNNNNNNNNNNNNNNNNNNNNNNNNNNNNNNNNNNNNNNNNNNNNNNNNNNNNNNNNNNNNUUUCAGUAUUUCUUGGUGUGAAAUAAGUUAGUUUUCGGUAUAUACGACUUUGUGACCUUCUGAAUUUGUAGCCAGUCGUGGAGCCAGGAUUUUCACGAAGAGGGUUUAGAAAUAACUUACGAACAAAUCAAAAGGGGUUCAACAUCCACUAUAAUAAUUUUAACCGAAUAGUAUAAUUUUUCACCGAAGGAGGUUCGGUGACCCCUCGCCGAAGGGUAGCUCGGCCCCUGCUUGUAGGCUGUAGCAUUUGCAAAAUAUAACCAUACAAGGGGUGGAGUUAGAGUAUAACAUAUGGGUUCAACUGAACUAAUACGCUUUGGUUCAUUGAUAUACACAAAAUUUUAAUUUAAAAUCCAAUUAUUUAAAAAUUAGAAUCUCAAAUUCAUAAAGUUCUAUCUCCUCUUUACGGCCAUUUGUGUAUGUUCUGCCUACUAAACUUAGGUAAGCAAAGAGAAACUAUAAACAGAAAGUUUGAACCAACGCCAUUUUACAUAAAUCUUCCAUGCAAAAAUUUACACCCAAAAGAUAAGGUCACAACAAUCUAAUAAAUAUGUCUAAAUCAAGAAGCUACACACACAUAAAUUCUUUGAAAAAAAAAUGAACAAGAAGAAAGCAAAUGCUAUGGAUUAUGUGGCGAAAAAAAUUUGGACCAUUUCUCGAUUUGUGCGUGUCAUUCUUGCGCAGGGAUCAUGCUAAUAUUCUCUGUAUCGUUCCAAUUUUAUCGGAUGUCCCCAAAGGGAGAAACAUGCUCAUUACUGUUGUGCAUUAUAAACAAGCAAAACUUCUUUCUGCAAACAAUGUGGGAGAAGUAAUAGGUUGGGCUUUCUAUCUAUAUGGACCUGGACUCCUUUUUCCUUGUUUCCUCGUCCCAUCUAAACAAGCCCUGCUGCGCCUGGAGUUAUAAAUUUGACAUAUGAGACUAAAAUUGUAAAGAUUUGACUAACUUUUGACGUUGUUUUGCCCGAAGCAUGGCCUUAUUAAGGCCAAACAUUUUAUACUGUGGCAUUGCCAUGACCAAGCCUGAAAUAUUAUUUCCAACUUUAACAUUGGAUCGGCAGACUCUAACUUGAGACAUAUAAUAGCUGGUCAAGAAUCAAAUCAAUACGCAUAACCAUAUAUACAAGUAUUGGUGCUAGAGUAUACAGGUUCAGCCAAACUAAUAAGCUUUGGUCCAAAUUUUAUACUGUAUUUGUCUUAAAAAUUCAUUGAUAUACACAAAUUUUUAUUGAAAACCCAAUUACUUUGAGAAAAUUAGAAUCGUGAAUCCAUAAACUUUCAAUUCUCUUAUGUAGCCAUUAUACAUAGAUUGUUCAGUGCAAUUUGAGGAAUCCAAAGCAUAUGCACGAUAACUUGCUUGUGCUCUGCCUGUCACACCCCUUUGUCAACAUCCAAAAGAUUAAUUUUUAAGUUCGAAAGGGUUUUAUUAUAAGUGACAAAAAAUGAAAAUUCUAUUACGAAAAGGAUUUUUUAUAAUUAAAUUCAGAUUCGCCACUUGGCAAAAUCCGGUAUGCCAAGUCACCUUUGGAAAAUUCUUUUCGAAAUGGUUUGACUCUUUAAAACUGGUUUGCGAACAGAGAUUCCGACUAAGGAAUUUUAUUGACUGAGGGGAAGGUGUUAGGCACCCCUAGAUCCUGUGGUUUGACCACGGUAGCUUGGCGGAGCGUAUAGGCUAAUUUGACAUUAUGAAUAUAUAAACCACACAAAACAUGCAAAACAAUCAAUCAAGCAAACAAGAUAAAACAAUCCAAAAUUUAGUGUCCAGUCCAAUUAUACAGUCCAAAAAUAAAAUGUGUAAAAAUAAAUCCUACUCUAAAUUAAUUCUAGACUAAUGCUCUACCCGACGCCUCGGUCCUUCAUCACAAACGUCCUUCGGGUACAUGAUACCUCAGGGAAUUCCCCGGUGAAUAAAUAUAUACAGAUACUUCGGGGUAUUCCCCGGCCAAAUUAUACAAUUGAUUCAAAAGUGAUAAAAUCAAACCAUUCAAUCAACCCACAAUCUCUAGAUUUUGCCUACCCGACCUACGUCUUGCCUAUUCCAAUCGAAGUAUCUUGAUACUACCAAAUUCAAUUAACGUUUAUUUCAAGUCAAACAACUAAUGAAUCAAACUAAUCAAAAUUCACUAAUUAUAUCAAGUUUUCAAUUUUCGCCCCACUUAUUCCAUUUUUAUACAAAAUUCCAACGAUUCAAGAUAGUUAUCUCAACAAUCCACAACUAUCUAUUCAACGAAAUCGAACACCAAAUUAAUGUCACCAAAAUUCAACCACACAUCAGGCAAAUCAAACACGUAUAGUAAAGUAAAAUUAGAAGAGAUAGAGUUGGACAUUAAAUGGACUUUUAUAUGCCAGAUUAUGUGAUUAGAAAAUGGAGCCGGAUUCGAAAUGUCCCGAUUGAACCUCAAACGACAACCCCCAAAUCGAUAUCCACUUUAAACUCGUAGUCUGAUUGAAAACCCAAUUUCUGAACAGAAAUAAAGAAGAAAUAUCAAACCAAACGGGGUCAGUCUUGUAAAGAAAUGAGAGGUACCCAUACUUAAUUCCAAAGAAGCCAACCCGUAUAGAAAUCCCUAGAACUAAUGCUAGUUUCGGUGUUUUUUUUUUUUGGGGGGGGGGGGGGGGGGGGGGGGGAGGGGGACUUAAACCGAUCUGAUUGACAAACGAAAACCAAUUUUGGUGACCCCCUAACAUAUCUCAACCGAAUUCACCCCAAAAAAUCAGAUAAAAACAAAGAUAUUUAGGCGAUUUCAUGAUGGGAACGAUCAAACGAUGAAAGAGAAACCAGUUCCGAUGAGCUCGAGGCCAAAUUUGGCGAGCUUAGAUCGAGAAACGACGAACAUAGGUCACUUCCAGUGAGAUUUCUCCACAGAAUAUCCAGAAACUGACCAAACCUUGUUCAAACUCUCUUUAUCCUCUCAAUUUACCCUUACUGUACUCUACUCUCUCUCUUCACCGCCCUUUCUUGAUCUACUCUCUUCUCGCCAUCUCACUGUGUUGUUAUUCUUUGUGGUAUGUAUCUAUGUAGUAUGUGCAUUAAUGAUGGUUUAUCGUGAGUGAGAUCUGCUAUGGUGAGGAUGAGGGAUCGUAUAUGGGUGAAGUAUGGUGAAUGGAAAAUAUUAGUGAGGGUGUCUGUGAGUAUAUGUUGGAGAAGAAGGUGAAUUCUUCUUCUUUUUUUGUGUGUGCUAUGAGUGUGAGUCUUCAGUGAAGUAUGUAAUUGUGUAUAUGGUAGUUGUGGGUGGGUGUUCUAGUAAGAGUAAAAGAAUGGAAAAAUGGAGCCAUCAAGGAGUGUGUGAGCUGUUGGAAUGGUGAGGAAGGUGUCCGUUAAUGGUGAGGUUAAUGGUGUAUUGUGUGUUGGUUGUUGUGUGGCUAAGUAUAUCUAUGGAAUGGAAAUGGAAGAAUUCUUUUUUUUCAAUGUUCUGUGUAUAAGUGUGUAUAUAUGAAAGGUGAUAGUGUGAGGGAUCACGUGGGUGGGUAGUAGGGUAGGGUAUGGGGUGGUGAUGUGUUGUCCAAAAUUGAUAGGAGGAGUGGUUAAUUUUGUUACCAAAAGAAUAAUUGAGGAUUAAGUUUGUUAGUGGGUUUGUUAUUAUAUUUUUGUAUUUUUGUGGGGUAUAAUCACAUGGGUAAGGGUGUAUGAUAAAGUGAGGUAAAAAUGAAUAAAAUUGAUAUCAGGGAGGGAUAAAAUUAGGUGUUUACAUCAUACCCCCUUUGAAUGUAAACACGAAGUGUUUUCAAAUAAAAAAGUAAACAACGACACAAAAUUUUGUCCCGGCCAUUAUUCAAAGGAAGAAACAAAAAUAAGAAGGAAAAUCGAGUCCUGACUUAGGAAAUCCUACCCACCCAAGUUACGAGGGAAUUAAGUCACAAGUAUCUUAAAGGGUUGGACGAGAAGUGGACUAUACCGAGUUGGAGAGUCGAGGGAGGUUCCAUCGAGGUUUCGGUCCGCGGCUCUGUCAUUACAUCAAAAAUGAAAAUUACAAGUUAAAACAUAAAUGAAAUUACAAAAAUCCUAUCUAUAUAGCUUCUUUUGGACUCUUGACUUGAGUUUCAUCACCCUAUUCUUCAGGCGGGCUCCUGACUUGCUAUUUCUUUAACUUGUUACUUGUCUUUCAAUUUCUUCACCCUGUUCUCCAGGCAGGUUCCUGACUUGCUAUUUCAUCAACUUGUUGCUAUGCUUUCAAUUUCUUCACCCUGUUCUGCAGGCGGGUUCCUGACGUGCUAUUUCAUUAACUUGUUGCUAUGCUUUCAAUUUCUUCACCCUAUUUUGCAGGCGGGCUCCUGACUUGCUAUUUCAUCAACUUGUUUCUAUGCUUUCAAUUUUUUUCUGUUCUGCAGGCGGGCUCCUGACUUGCUAUUUUUCAAUCUGUUUAACUUUUAAUUUCUUCACCUUGUUGCAUGGUUUUCCAUUUAUUCGCCCUUUGCUUCGGUUAUGCUCCUGAAAUCACAUCAAAACUGAAAAAAAAUCAUCCCAAAUAAAGAAAUGCAUUUUCUAUGAGUUAAUUGGAAUGACUCGACUAAAAGGUACGUCUUUUAGGAAUCAAGGGGGAUGACUCGACUAAAUGGUACAUCUUAUAGGAAUCCAGGGGGAUGACUCAACUAAAAGGAAAGUCUUAUAGGAAUCAAAGGGAAAUAACUCGACUAAAAGGUACGUCUUCUAGGAAUCAAAGGGAAUGACUCAACUAAAAGGUACGUCUUCUAGGGGCUAAAGGGAAUGGCUUGACUAAAAGGUACGUCUUAUAGGAAUCAAAGGAAUGACUCGACUAAAAGGCACGUCUUAUAGGAAUCACUAGGGAUGACUCGACUAAAAGGUACAUUUUAUAGGAAUCAAAGGAGAUGACUCGACUAAAAGGAACGUCUUCUAGGAGUCAAGGUGAAUGACUCGACUAAAAGGUACGUCUUCCAGGAAUCAAGACUUAAGUUAGGAAGUGCAUUACCUAAGAAGAAAAAUUCGAAUUAUCCAAUCAAGGAAGUGUGUUUCCUUACCAAUGUUGUUUGACUUAUCAAAACAAUAACGUGCGUCUCCUUACCAAAGCUGCUUGAAUUACCAAAACAAGAAAGUGUGUCUCCUAGAGAUCUUGAAUUAUGAGUUUUACCAUGGUUUUGAUUACCAAACCUAUUCAGCAACCUUGCCUCUUGCAUUUGUUGAGGUGAGAAAUUACGGUCUUUGAUGUUUAGGCUCUGAAAUCCUUGAUCUGAAUGCAACAUGUAUUCCUAUUACAUACAAAGCAAACUUGUGAGUUUAAAAAACAUGGUGGCUAGUAUUUGGCUUUGGCUUUUGAGGCAAUUUCUCCUGCCCCCAUCACAUUUAGCUUUGUUUCCAACCAUUAGCAUAUGUCAUUGACUUGCUGUAUCAUUGACUCAAACUCAGCUUAUUAAGAGUGACUCUGAAACAAACACAGUAUUUCUGCUUUGUCGUGUUUCUCAAAUAAACCCUUUGAACCUUGGUAUUUCCAUAAGUUCCCCGACUUCUCUGUUGACAAAACUUCCUGCAUGCCUUUUUGGGGCUCACAAUCAUGUCUCUUUUAUGUGCUAUCUUUUGUCUUGCUUUGUACAAUUAAAAAAGCUGGUAGCCAGUUUUGAAAUCUUUUCUCACUUGUUUUGACACGGACUUGACUCAAAGACAAAAAACAAAAAAAAGAAUGACAAUUUUUGUUUUGAUAACUGACUUAAGAAAGAUAAAAUUAAAAUAAAGAGAAGAAAGAAAAGACAAUGAAUGUCCCCUUUUAAAACAAAGAAAUGAAAAAUUCAUCUAAAAAUGACAGUCAACACUAAUGAUUAUGCCAUGCAUUUUGGAUUAAGCAGCUUGAUCUUUUCAUCCAAACUUUUUACCCAUUAUUGUUGAGUUAAUGGCCUUGAAACUGAGUUACUUUCUUAGGUCAAUUCCAUUUAAGACCCCAUUCGUCUAGUGGCGCCUUGAAGGGUUUUCGCCAACAAGCUUCUUUCAUUUUUUCUCGGCUAACUAUCGCCUUAUGGUGCCCGUGAGUUUUUUCACCAAUAAGACUCUCUCAUUUUUAUUUCUCUCAACUUGUCAUUGUCUUAUGGUGCUCGUAAGGGUUUUCACCAAUAAGACUCUCUCAUUUUUAUCUCUCUCUCGAUUCCCUAUGCUGAGGAAGACAAAUUGUUCCCAAAUGCAUCAUCAUAUCCCUUGCAUGCUCCGCCUUAACAUCCUCAAAGAUUGAUCUGAAGGUCUUUCUUUAGUUGUAACUUGGCUUUUGGAUAAGGUUAGAAAGAAAGGAUGGCAUGGGGCCCAAACGACACUGGAAGUGGGGUAGGACUUACAACUUUUGGAAUCGACUCAAACAAUAAGGAUUAACUCAUGCCCCAGUUUCUUUUGACUAGGUGACUCUAAAUUGUUUAUUUAGUUAGACUGAGUCUUUAGUAGGGCAGCCUACGUAUCUCACCCCCGAGAAAGGAGAAUCAGGUCAUGCGUAGUUCUGGCAGCUUGUUUUUUCACUUGAUUCUAUUUUUUCUUUUGUUGACUCUUUUCUCUUUGGGACUUUUCUGACUUUAUUUUUCUUUACACUCCUUUUUCUUUUUGGACACAUUUUUCUCUCAUUUCCUUUUGAAAAUUUUUGACUCUAUUGUUUUGCUCGACAUUUUUCUUUUAAGCUUUGCUGACUCUAUCGUGAUUCCAAAAGAGGGGUAUGAAAGAAAAUANNNNNNNNNNNNNNNNNNNNNNNNNNNNNNNNNNNNNNNNNNNNNNNNNNNNNNNNNNNNNNNNNNNNNNNNNNNNNNNNNNNNNNNNNNNNNNNNNNNNNNNNNNNNNNNNNNNNNNNNNNNNNNNNNNNNNNNNNNNNNNNNNNNNNNNNNNNNNNNAUCAAUCCUUAAAAAUGCAAGUACAUAUCAUGCAAUAUGAAAACGAAAGAUGAAGAUCAUUUGUGGUACUUUAACAACACUAACUUCAACUGAGCAUGUAUGUCACUUCUUUUUCUACACUUGUCAAACAUACAACUCCAUUUUCGUUGUACAUUCCUCAUGCUGAAGGACUCAUGACUUCGAGGAGCUGAUUUUCUUCCUGUUCCUUUUGACAUAGGACCACACAUUCACUACUUGACCUAAUUAAGAUAUGUCUUUCAAUUGAUGACCAAGUUAUUCUCAGGAUUUUCAAAAUAAUAACUUUAAUUUUCAAAGAAGGUUUCAACUUGAUCACCAAAUGCCUCAGCACUCUAUCUAUUUCCUCAGAUGCUCUCUUUUUCUAACUUUAACCCUCUGAUUCAAUGUUCAUUCUUAAACUGGAUGUUAAGAUCUAGUUGUAAAUUUCACUAGAAUAUCAUAUCACUAGAGUCAACAUAAAAUGUACUAUGUAAAAAAAAAAAAAACAACACAUAUUUAAAACACAGAAAAAAGGGGACACUCCAUUUAAUAAAAUUAAAGAUAGAAGGGUUUGAACAUAAACUACAAAGGGACAAAACAAGAUAGAUCCCGAACUACAACCCUGAAAUAAUUCAAAAAAUAGAACAAAAGACAAAACAAACUAUCAGACCUCUUCCUAGUAGGGAUAUAGGUUAAUUCUCAAUUGCUCAGCCUGACAACUUAGCCACUGGUUUGCAUAUCAGCAUGACUAGAGCUUUCCUCACUAUCAAUAUUUUGCACCAUAAUUGAUCCAUCAUGAAUCAUCUUUCCAAUUUCUCUUUUCAAAUCUUGACAAUCUUCAAUACUAUGACCCUGAGCCUCAGAAUAAUACGCACACCGUGCGUUAGGAUCAUAAUUUCUUAAAUAUUGAUUAAGGGUGUACCCAAAGAGAGGAGUGAUCAUUUCUUCCUGUACCAAUCUCUGAAAUAAAGUGGCUUAUGACUCUCCAAUUGGUGUGAAGAUAUCUCUCGACUUCUGCCUCAUUUCAUUGUUUGGCUUGGAUAGAAAAUCUGGCUUAGAAGGGUUUUGGUAUGUUUGUGGAGUUAGAGGAUGACUCUGGGGCAUUGGCGUAUGCCAUUGUGGGUAAGAUGAGGGUUGAACAUGUGAUUGUGCAUUAUACACUGGAUAUGGAUGUGGAGGAACAGAGUAUAAUGGAUUUUGGGAGUGAUUAUGUGGAGCCUGGGCAUAAACUUGAGCUUGAUCCUGAGAUCGACGACGACGUGGUCUUCUUGACCUUUCUUGCUGUCCAACUAUAAUUGCAGAUGCAUCUUCCUCAUUCUUUUUCUCCCCAACACUUCCUAAACCCUUUUGAAUUACUUGACUAGUCACUUUCAAUGUUGCAAAACUCACAAUGCGACUAGUCUUAAUUCCUUCUUGUAUCAUCUCCCCCAUUUUAAGGACCUCAAUGAACGGCUUGCCUAAUGCAGGUAACAAGUGUUCAUAAUAUGUUUCGUCCUGCGCUUGAAUAAACACCUCCACUAUUUUGCUUUCUUUCAUUGGUGGUUUUACUCUAGCAACUUGUUCGCGCCAUCUGAUCGCAUACUCCCUGAAACUCUCAGUAUUCUUCUUUGUUAUACUAGUUAGGGAUUUUUCAUCAGGGAUCAACUCACCAUUGUAUUAAAAUUGUUGCACAAAUUCGUUAGCUAGGUCAUCCCAACUAAUCUAUUUGUCAAUGUCUUAGUCAACAAACCAUUCUGAAGCUAGUCCUGAAAGACUCUCACCGAAAUAUGCCAUGAGUAAUUCUUCCUUCCCUCCAGCACCCCUUAGCUGGUUGCAAUAGUGUCUCAAAUAGGCUACAGGAUCGCCAUGUCCGUCAUACUUCUCAAACUUCAGUAUUUUAAAACCAAGAGGAAGAUGUACACCAGGAAACAUGCACAGAUAUUUAUAUGAGACACUUUUGUACCCCCCAAGUCCUUGCAAGUUUUUCAUAGUCAGUUCCAAACUUCUCAAUUUUCUGGCUAUUUUCUCUUGUUCUUCGAUCAUAACAGGCUUCUCAGUGUUACGAGGAAAUUCAAGAGGUUGAGGGCAAUCGUAAGGACCAGUCGACUUAAAUGUAGAAGAGCAUAAUGCUGAUCACUAAAAAUAUUCAAUACAGGCUCUCUUGUAGAGUAGGGAGGCAUAACUUGUGGAUGAACAUCAAAAGUAGGAGGUAGGGGUGGCGCCGCAAAAGCAUGAACAGCAACUGGAGCCGAGUAUGUGGUAGUCUUGGAUUGGGGAGUGAGGAAAUGAACAUUGGAAGUGGUGGAUAUUAUUGCCCCGGAGUCGAUCCUGAUACAUGUUGCGGCAUAUCAACUUGUCAAAAGAAUUGACGAAAAUGUUUUUGAAUUUUUCAGCUUUAACAUCCCUAUACAAAGUGAAAUCUAUGAUUACCAAAGAAAAUCGUUUUGGGUUUUCAGUUUUAAAUUUCAUAUGAAAAUGGAACUUGAACCUAAUAAAGAAUCUUUUUGUAGUUUUCUUUUAAAGAUGUAUAUGAAACACCUACUCUAAAUGAAGAGUGAAGAAAAUCUUUAUGAAUUUUUGAAAUAAGAUCAACCAAAAAUGAAACCUACGACUAUUGAGAAAAAUCUUUUUUUUUCUUUGUAUUUUUCUUUUCAAUACAUGUAUGAAACACCUGCUCUAAAUAAAGAGUUGAAAAAAAUAUUUUUUAAUUAAUUUUUUUUUAAAUAAGAUCCCCCGAACCAACAAUAGGCUGCCUACGUAUCUCACAUCCCGAAAGAGGAGAAUCAGGGGUGCGUAGUUCGUCCAGAUAGGAUAAUUAAUGAUUAAAUAAUCGACUGAACCCUGACUUGAGAGACGCGAUUACAGACAGACGAUAAAAGACGUCAAUAAAAUCUUUUUUAAGUUUUUUUUUUUUUUUUGCAAUUUGAUACUUUAAAUAAAACUGACACCAACAAUUAUGAAAGAAAAACUCUUUUUGGGUAUUUAGUUAUAUAAAAUGUACAAAACUUCUACCAGCUUUUUUAAAAUUCUUCUUUUAUAAAAAGCCCCUAAAAAAAUCAUUUUGGAGUUUUCGAAUUGUGAAAGCUUGCUAAAGAAAGCAAAAGGAGAAUCUUUUUUUAUUUUUUUUCUUUUUUUUUUUGAAUUUUUGAAUCGUGGAAAACAAAAGCCAUAAAGAACCUAAAAACUACAAAACUCUUCUUUGAUUCACCUUUUCUCUUUUUUUUUUCAAGCACACCUUACUUCUAACACAUGUUUUCCCGAAUCAGUCUGUCAAAUGACCACAUUACCCUCAAAGAUGCAACAUUUAGCACAUGGGGAUGCUUUAAAGGUGAGUCUCCUAUAAAGAACCAUGUGGGCCCCGCUAGGUCUCAAUAUGAUGCACAUAAGAAUGACCUAAAGGCUGACCUACGUUGUGGUUUACUAACAAGGCUGUUCGGGGGAGCAUAUGGUCGAUAGUGGCUACUUUGCUUUCCACCUACUCCAUACAUCCAACGGCUCCCCCCCUAAAAUAAAGGUGACUCAACUAGAGUUCGUGCGCACGAUGUGCGCUCCGAGACUUGUUGCGAAAAGAAUGACUCGGGUUAUGCACAUGAUGUCAGAUAUAAAAGCGGUAAAUACAUAGGAUAAAUACUGUAAACAAAGAGCACGAAAACACACAAAAGUGAAAACACAAACAAAAAUCACAAACAAUAUUUAUACACUCGUAAUGCCAAACAAAGUUGAUACGACUCAAAAAAAAAAGCUCAGAUUCUGAAAUAGUUCCCCAGCAGGGUCGCCAGAGCUGUCACACCCCUUUUUCAACAUCCAGAAGAUUAAUUUUUAAGUUCGAAAGGGUUUUAUUAUUAAGUGACAAAAAAUGAAAAUUCUAUUCCGAAAAGGAUUUUUUAUAAUUAAAUUCAGAGUCGACACUUGGCAUAAUCCGAUGUGCCAAGUCACCUUUGGAAAAUUCUUUUCGAAAUGGUUUGACUCUUUAAAACUGGUUUGCGAACAGAGAUUUCGGCUAAGGAAUUCUAUUGACCGAGGGGAAGGUGUUAGGCACCCCUUGAUCCCGUGGUUUGACCACGGUUGUUGGCGGAGCGUAUAGGCUAAUUUGACAUUAUGAAUAUGUAAACCACACAAAACAUGCAAAACAAUCAAUCAAGCAAACAAGAUAAAACAAUCCAAAAUUUAGUGUCCAGUCCAAUUAUACAAAAUGUGUAAAAUAAAUCCUACUCUAAAUUAAUUCUAGACUAAUGCUCUACCUGACGCCUCGGGCCUUCAUCACAAACGUCCUCCGGGUACAUGAUACCUCGGGGCAUUCCC
rnacentral:lncRNA from 1 species